ensembl:ncRNA F35E12.12 ncRNA
ACAAUUCCUUAUAUGAAAAGUUGUUUGAUGCAGUUGGCCCUGUUUUUAUGGUCAAUGAUUCUCCGGUCGCUGAAAUCCGAACAUCUUUCACAUUCACACCGAACAUGAAUUUUUGAUCUCGAUCUUCUGGAAAUGAAAACA